rnacentral:rRNA from 1 species
UUUGUUUGGAGAGUUUGAUCCUGGCUCAGGACGAACGCUGGCGGCGUGCUUAACACAUGCAAGUCGAACGGUGAAGGGGCCUGCUUUUGUGGGUCCUGGAUGAGUGGCGAACGGGUGAGUAACACGUGAGUAACCUGCCCCCUUCUUCUGGAUAACCGCAUGAAAGUGUGGCUAAUACGGGAUAUUCUGGGUCUGUCGCAUGAUGGGUCUGGGAAAGAUUGCGCUUUUGGGUGUUUUUGGUGGGGGAUGGGCUCGCGGCC